rnacentral:rRNA from 1 species
UACGAAGGGGGCUAGCGUUGCUCGGAAUUACUGGGCGUAAAGCGCACGUAGGCGGCUUUCUAAGUCGGGGGUGAAAUCCUGGAGCUCAACUCCAGAACUGCCUUUGAUACUGAAGAUCUUGAGUUCGGGAGAGGUGAGUGGAACUGCGAGUGUAGAGGUGAAAUUCGUAGAUAUUCGCAAGAACACCAGUGGCGAAGGCGGCUCACUGGCCCGAUACUGACACUGAUGCACGAAAGCGUGGGGAUCAAACAGG